rnacentral:rRNA from 1 species
AUGUCGUCCGAUUUUGACGAAGACCAGAACGUCCCAUAUGCACAUCCACCAGAUGGCCCCCCUCUGCUGGACAGAGCCGACAACGUGCGGUUCAGGUGGCACGCCAGCGACCGGGCGCCACUGCACGAGAACCGGCAGCAGGUGCUGCUGGAGGUCCACGACGCGUCCUCCGCCGCCGCUAGCGACCGCCUCGGGCUGGACCUCGUGGCCGUCCUGGACGUCAGCAAGAGCAUGAGGAAGAAGGACCGGCUCGGCAAGAUGAAGACCGCCAUGCACUUCGUCAUCAACAAGCUCGGACCCAAGGACCGCCUCUCCAUCGUCAAGUUCUCCGAGGAGGCCGAGAGGCUGUGCCCGCUCCUCUCCGUCACCCCCGCUAACAAGCCGCACCUCAUGGCUAUCGUCGACGGCCUGCAAGUCAUCGACCCAACCAACAUAAGAGACGGCCUCGAGACCGCCCUCGGCGUCCUCGGCCGCCGACGCAUCUCCGGCGGCCGCCUCGCCAGCAUCUUUCUCUUGUCCGACGGGGACGAGAACAUAGGCCAUGCGACGAACGUUGAUGUCAGUGAUGUGCCGGUCUACACGUUUGGUUUUGGUACCGACUUCGAUCCCAAGGUGCUGGACGAGAUCGCAAGGAGGAGCAAAGGAGGAACGUUCAACUUCGUAGAUGACGGGGAGAACAUGACCGAGCCCUUCUCGCAGAUCCUGGGUGGCCUCCUCAGCGUCGUCGUCCAGGACCUCAAGCUCAUCGUGUCCCCACAGCCAGGCGACUCCAUACUAGAGGACGUGGACUCCCGUCUCUACCAGCAAACACGGGACGACAACUCCGGCGCGGUAAUCGUCCAUUUCGGCGAUCUCUUCGCCGGAGAAAUACGCAGGGUUAUCGCCCACAUCCGCCUCCCUGCCGUCGGCCAGAAGAAGAACGCCACUGCCAUCACCGCCCAGUGCUCCUAUAGUAUCCGGGGACAACCUUUCUACUCCCGUAGACUGCCGGUCCCCAUACGCCGCACCCCAACUGGAUCGGCUGACCCGAGCCGCACGAUGCCGGUGGCCCUGAGGACCGAGCGAGCCCGCCGGCACCACGUAACCUUCCUAGACGAGGUGCGUACGAUGGCGGACGGCGGCGACCUCCACGGCGCCCAAGGGAAGCUGGUGGAGGCCAGGAACGACCUUGCACAUGAGCAGUCCAACCCCAUGAUCGACUUCCUCAGGGCCACGCUGGACAAGCUCCUGGGGCUGAUCACGUCGCCGGGUCAACACGCCGGCUUCCGCGCCUACCUGCGGUCGCUCAGGACGUCGCAUGACCGCGAGCGCGUCGCGGCCACGGGCGACGUCAAGGGCGUCAGGCUCUUCGAGACGCGCCACACGAGCGCGUUCCGGGGGCAGGCCAAGCGGUUUGAGAAGCAGGCCACCAUGGGGCACCGGCCGCCGGCCCACCACGACUCCAACUUCAACGAGGACGACGACGACACGCAUAGACUCAGAGAUAGAGAAGAGGGCCGCACCCGCACGCGCAUGGAGAGGCCGGUCGCGGUGGAAGCGAGGAAUAAUAGGCCCUGGAAGACCUGGUGGGGGGACGACGACAAGCACCGCUGGAGCUCCGCCAGGUCCACGUCCGCGUGCGCGUGGGUGCUGUGCAUCCUGUGCGUGCUGCUCGUCAUCGGCGCCAUCGUCCUCGGCAUCCUGCUGUUCGCCGUCUACAACCACAAGAUGCCGUACCUGGCGGUCGCCGACGCGCAGCUGGGGGCGCUCCAGUACGCGGGCCAGGACGGCACCGUCCAGAACCUUCAGCUCUCCAUCGCCUUCCUGGCCAUCAACAAGGACUCCAGGGCGGACGCCUCUUUCUCCCGCGUCAACCUCGCGCUCAAGCUCCAAGGAGUCGACAUGCUUCUCUUCCGGGCGCCGCCGUUCGUGGUGCCGCCGGAUAGCUCCAUGCCGCUGCAGUACAACGACGUGGUGUCGACCGGGCGGAGGCUGGACAAGGCCGGGAUGCGCUCCAUGGACAAGUCGCUCAACGCCGGCGUGGUGCCGUUCGACCUGCACGGCAAGGUGCGCACGCGCGGGAACACGGGCAUCUUCCAAAACACCCAGUUUUGGACGCGCUUCUCAUGCCGUCUACGCUUCUUCUUCCCCGGUAACGGCACCGUCAUUCCCGCCGACCGCCGCAGUUGCCGCUCCAGGUGGCCGUAG